rnacentral:rRNA from 1 species
UCAAAACAACUUUUUAUUAAUGGUUUUAAAUUAAGUAAGACCCACCCAAUGAAUUAAUAAAGGGCUGCGGUAUUCCGACCUUACUAAGGUAGCAUAGUCAUUUGUUUAUUAAGUAGGAAUUUGUAUGAAUGGUUUAAAUAAAAAGUUUUUUAUUUUUUUUUUUUUUUGAAAUUAAAUUUUUAGUGAAAAUGCUAAAUUUAUUUAAAAAGACGAUAAGACCCUAUAGAGCUUUAUAAUUAAUUUUAUAUUUAAAUUUGGGGGAAUUUAUUUAUAAUAUUAAUUAUUUAGUUGGGGCAACUAUAGAAUAAAAUUAAUUUCUUUCCAUGAAUUUAAAAAUUAUAAUUUAAUCUUUUAUUAAAAAAAUUAAAAAGUUACCUUAGGAAUAACAGCGUUAUUAUUUUUUAGAGUUCUUAUCGAUAAAAUUUUUUGCGACCUCGAUGUUGAAUUAAGUAAAUCUUUAUAGAGCAGUAUUUAUAUUAGAUA